rnacentral:rRNA from 1 species
UACGUAGGUGGCAAGCGUUGUCCGGAUUUAUUGGGCUUAAAGGGUGCGUAGGCGGCCUUAUAAGUCAGUGCUGAAAUAUCCCGGCUUAACCGGGAGGGUGGCAUUGAUACUGUAGGGCUUGAGUGUAGUCGAGGUAGGCGGAAUUGACGGUGUAGCGGUGAAAUGCUUAGAUAUCGUCAAGAACACCGAUAGUGUAGACAGCUUACUAGGCUACAACUGACGCUGAGGCACGAAAGUGUGGGGAUCAAACAGG